rnacentral:lncRNA from 1 species
UCUAGGCUUUUCUGCAUCAUGAUAGGAAAUUAGAAUGCCAAUAGUCUCAUUUUGUGACCUGUCACCUUGGUGUGCGUGUAAAUUAUGCUUUGUCUUGCUUUGUGAAGAGGAAGUGAAAUUCACACACAUUAACGUUUUAAUCUAUACAUUUGCUGGCAUAAUUGCAUCCAAAAUGUGUAGAUUAUAGGUAUAUGUACACGAAAGUGAACUUGUCUGUAGGUGGUUGGGUCACUUAAAGGGCCAAACUAUGACAAUGCAGAAUGUUUUGUCCUUGUCGGUUCCAUAAUGUAAAUCCAGUUGCACACAUUUUAAAUAUAUUUGAAUGCAAUUUUUAGGGGUAUAAUUUAAGUGCAAUGCAGAACCAGUGUUCUAAGUGCUGUUGAUCAUAUUGGUCAGUAGCAAAUCUGCACUUUCAUUUGGAGAUGGUGAGGACUUGCAAUAAGUUUUUAUUGUAAUGUUUUGUUUGCACUUGCUUGUGUAUUUAAUUAAAAUGUCAUAUCAAUAGUAGAAGAAAAAAACAGAAUUUAAAAAAAAAUAUGAAUUUAGAGACCCUACAUAUGCGCCACUGUACAGAACAAAGCAGGACAUCUCGAAAGUUCUCUACAUUUGUGUACCCUCCAACAAAUUGGAAAAUGGUUGCAGGGCAUGUUAAACUACUUAGACAAUCAGUACCUGUCAGUAGCUUGCAUGCAACAUAUAAAUUAAAGUAUGUGGAACCAAGUGAAUUUUACUUUUGCACCAAUCAAAUAAACUUUUAGAGAUGCUUUAUAGUGCUCCAUAGCAUUGGUUUUUAGUGUCCCAAAUUAUUAGAGGGUCUUUUUUGAAUUCCAGGGCCACCCUUUUUAGUGUAAAAGGUUAAGUAAAUGAACCAAUUACUUACAUGGAAUCCAGCACUAAAACAGUCUCUUCUCUGCAGACCGGCCCGCCUCCUCUGAUGUCAUUGGGUUUGUCCAAUCCAAUGCUUCUAGAGAAGCUUUGUAGACUUAAUGCACAUAUGUGGCAAUCAAAUAUUUCUCAUAGAGAAGCACUGAAUCCAUUACUUCUCUGUGAGAAGUAUCAGAGGACACUCAACAUCCUAAUGCAAUGCCAUUAGAGGUGUGUUUUGCCCUGCAAUGUAAACAUUGAGAUAAAGUGGCCUGGGUGCCUCUAGUGUUCCUUUUGAAAGCCUCCUGUAUAGCACUAUGUACAAAUCUAUAAGGCAUUCCAUCAUACAUUUUAACGCUAUUUCCUGGUUGUCUUCUAAUUUUGUCUGUAUUUGAUCAAGGAAUUGUAGGAUUAGGCAUUUGAUGCCUGCUAGCAUGUCAGGUAGGUAAAAUAUUUAUGGAUUAUUUUAAACCACCCCAAAAAUGUUUAAAAUAAUUUGGUGGUAAUGUUGUAUAAAGAUGUUCAAUGGUUUGCAAAUGACUUUACGGUCACCGUACUUUAUUGCAUACAAUUUGUCACAUAUUUUGGCCGAAUAAAGCUGCCACACUUUUAUUAAGACAUUUUGAGAUUUUAUAACAUUCUUCAGUCCAAACCUUUGCCCACUAAAAUUCAGAACAAUGUGUUUUUGUUCUACGCAGGCAAAGACUGUUUUAUUAUAAUUUUAGAUGAAGGAUUGCAUAGAUAUAAGUAAAUGCCACAUUUAAGUGCAUUUUCAGGCUUUCCUUGUGGGUUUUUUUUUUUUUUUUUUUUAAAUAUGGUGGAGCCUCUUUAAAGGAACACCACAGGGUCAGGAACACGAACCUAUAGUGUUAAAACCACCAUCUAACCCCUCUCCUCCUCUCCCCCUAUAGCCACCCAAAUAUAGUAAAAUAUUACCUUUAUGCCAGUCUGCUGGUGCUGACGCGGCCCCUGAACUGCCUGGUUGGCUGACAGCAUCAGAAGUGUUGAUCAAAGCCAAUCACAAUACUUGGAGUGGCUAAGAUUGCUACAGGGGCAGAGCCAGCACAAGCCAAACAAAGCCCAGGCCAAUAAGCAUCUCCUCCUAGAGAUGCAUUAUUCAAUGCAUCUCUAUGCGGAAAGUUCAGUGUCUCCAUGCAGAGGGUGGAGACACUGAAUGAAAGGGCUGCACAUUGUGCAGAACAGCCCCAGGAAGCACCACUACCCUCCAUCUGAGGAGUGACCGGUGGAGUUAUCCCUGGGCUGUAUUGUGAACCCUGCCUUUUCUCUGAAAAAAAGUUUCCUGCUUGAUGGGAAUGAUUAUACACACCAGAACAAAUACAAUAAGCUGUAGUGUUCUGGUGACUAUAGUAUCUCUUUAAGUCCCCUUUGGACCAAAACAUUUGCUGCCUUUGGUCAAUGAUGUCUGAAGAGAACUACUCCCACAGUGCAAGGAUUACAUUUGCAACAAGACAUUAGUUUUCUUUUAAAGAAACACUCCAAAAGCCCCAUAAAUACUACAGUGCGCUGUAAUGAUUGAUUCCAAAAAUGGCAUGUAAGUAGUUAAACCGAUUUUAUAACAGUUGACUUUUUACCUAGGGUUAGCUGUGUUCUGCACUCUCAUCUGUAAUUGGUAGCCCUAUGGUGAUUGGAGACCCUUACUUUAAAGUGUCACAAAAUUCUACAUUAAAGGACCACUAUAAUGCCAGGAAAACAUACUCGUUUUUCUGGCACUAUAGUGCCCUGAGGGUGCCCCCACCCUCAGGGUCCCCCUCCCGCCCGGCUCUGGAAAGGGGAAAGUGGUAAAAACUUACCUUUUUCCAGCGCUGGACGGGAAGCUGCUCUCCGAUCCUCCUCUUCUCCUCCCCGUCGGCUGAAUGCGCACGCGCGGCAAGAGCUGCGCGCGCAUUCAGCCGGUCACAUAGGAAAGCAUUCAUAAUGCUUUCCUAUGGACGCUGGCGUGCUCUCACUGUGAAAAUCACAGUGAGAAGCACGCAAGCGCCUCUAGCGGCUAGGGGAAGGCUUAACCCAUUCACAAACAUAUUAGUUUCUCUGAAACUGCUAUGUUUAUGAAAAAAUGGGUUAACCCUAGCUGGACCAGGCACCCAGACCACUUCAUUAAGCUUAAGUGGUCUGGGUGCCUAGAGUGGUCCUUUAAGCUCUAUUUAAAAUAAGCAAGAGUUACUUGUAUGGUGCCUUCUUAUAAAAUAUAACAUAAUGUUAUCCUUGCAAAUAUAGACUAGUAACAUUGAAAAUUUUUACAAUUCAGGUAAUAGUUAAAUAUUCACAAUUUUCUCUCAUAGAUAGGUCUUUAUUAGUUGUGUAUCACACCUAGACCUCAUGCUCUGUGGGUUUCACUGGCUGUAUGAACCUGGACAGUUCAUGAGAGGGGAAAAGUGCGCAUUACAGUUUAUCUGUUUAAGGUGACACUAUAAUGUACUUCAAACAAUAUGUAAUUAUGUGAAACACUGACAUUCCACUGUAUUCUUGGUGUUAGGUUUAAUUCUGAACACUUCACUAUAACAAGGUCCAUCCACGGUAAAAUUUCAAAUGCCAUACCUAGGGAUCUUGCUUAAGUUGGUCUACCAGAUCACGAGUGAUCUUUAAAUGUACACAUGUUCUUACUUCUGAUAUUUGUUUCAGUAACUUAACUGUGAUGCUGUGUGACUGAACUAUUCCUGGGCAGUGACGGAAGCCACUAAAGCCCAUAUUUUUAAAUUCCUGGGAUGAAAGUGGACUUGCCAUCCACAAAAUGUGUGGAUGAAAAUUUCACCUUCAUGUGGUUUUACACAGUCUGCAUUGUGCAAUACUUUAAUUGUAACUACAAAAAUCUACUCAAGCUGCUGGAUACAGAAGUCCAGAAGCCCGAGUAACAACUGGAACUGUAAUGUCAUUCAAAUUGUCUGUAAAAUUAAAAGAUGCGAUUUAGCAAAAAAGUACCUGAAGUAUCUGAAACUAUUCAAAAAUUCCACAGGUUGAUUUAACCUUGUUCUGGGUUUAACUACCACCUGUGGAAUCUAUCCUUUUUUUUUUUGUUUUAAUUUUUUCUUUUUUUCUUCCCUCUGUGUUUAGCAAAAAGCAUACAUAAAUGUACACUGACAUGGUUCGUGUGGACUGACUCACUUUUUAUUUUUCCCCUACUCCUCACCAUGCCCUUGUUAGAAAUUUGGCUUACACAAUAUAUACAUCAAUAUAUAAAUGAAAGUGUUCUUAAUAAAGUAGUACCCACAGUAUUUUUGCAUGGCAAGUGCUUUUAAAAUGCUCCGCUCACAAAGCCUCAGGUUUUUACUCUGUGUGAAGUUUUACAGGUAACAGGUACAUAUUGGUGUCCAGAACGGUUCUGAACAAAUAUUAGUGUUUUAUUGCCUAUUCAUUUUGAGAAAAAUUGUGCUUUACCCUGAUAGUCUGUGACUUCAAGAUAUAGUUUUUAAUAAUUUCUGAAAAUAGCCAUGCAUAAAAAGUCUAGAUGGCUAUUAUUCAAACAAGAUCAAGCAUUGAGCAGAUGUAAUGUUUGAAAAAGUCCUUGUUGAAUUUUAAAUGAAGGUUUUGCAUCUAAGAAACUCAGAUGAACUUCAUGAUGUGCUUAUAUAUCCCUCCACUCGUCUCUUCCUCCCCUCCCCUCUUUAACCCCUUAAGGAUCAAACUUCUGGAAUAAAAGGGAAUCAUGAUAUGUCACAUGUCAUGUGUCCUUAAAGGGUUAAGCCAGGUAACUCUGAGAACAGGUGUUGGUCUCAUUACUGGUAUAAGCUCACCAUUGGUCCACAUCAUGGUCAAUUACAAUUAACACUAAAGCUUUUAUAAUUACAGUAAAUCAGUUUCCAUGAGGAUUUUUAUCCAGAACAGUUACUGACCUGUUGUCCUAUUGGUAAGCUAUUUGUGGUGUGUGUGGGUGGAGGGGGGGGGGGGUGUUAAUUGGGUGCUUAAUCCGUUUCAUUCCCUUUAUCAUUUUAUUACUGUUUAUGUACUUUCACAAUACAAGUAGUACUAAAUGAUUGCAAAAUUUAGGACCAUUUACAGACAGGGGUUCCUAUUUCACGUUAAGAUAUGUGGCCACUCUAGUAAAUGCAGCAGAACAUUCUGUUCUUGUAACUGAAUUUGUACUAUUUAUUUAUUUUUCUCAUGCAGAUCUCCAUUUUAUUUUUCCAAUGAUAUUAAACAGAUCUAAAGUGUAUUAACACGAGUGUUCCAGCUAUAUACAGUUAUUUAUUACUCAACUUUCUUGAUUCUAGAAAUCAUAUUUUGCUGUUAAUUUAUUACCUUUGUGAGGGAUUUAAAAAAAAAAAAAAAAAAAACCCGCAUCCUCUCAUUUAUUUUAAUUGACCUGACCAUUACAUUGAUCUGUUGCUUUGAUCCAUGUAAGCAGUGCUUUGUCCUUGGACUUAUUUCUAAUUCAGAAAUGUUAGAAAUCAAGAUAAAUAUGAAAUGUAUCCUAGCAUUUUCUUUUUCAUUAAUGGAAUCCAUCAUUAAUGUAAAUGAGCAACUUUACCACUUAUACUUAUUUAAGUUUUAUUUAUUUGGAUUAUGGCAAAAUAUUUGCAUUUAUAAGAUAUGGAUAUUAUUUCCAUACCAGUGUAAAGAUUUCUGGUAUGCAAGAAUUAUAGUACGACAAUGUAGAUUUCGUACAAAGAAUAUCAACCUCGCUCAUUUUGACCAUCUUACACCCAUCUUUGUGAAGGGGAUAGUUUUCAAUAAGUAAAAGACCUAUCAAAAUCUUUCUAUCAUCUUUCAUAGCAGAUCAGUCAAUUUAAUUGUCUUAAAGCAUACCUUUCAUCGUGUCUGAUGUAUAGUUUGUUUAUAUUGAAGUCUGUUGGACAGAAGGCUUUGUUUCCCAUAUUGUAUAUGGUUAAACAUUUUUUUGUAUAUUUGGUGUUAAGUUAAUUUUGCUUUAUAUUUAAGAAAAUAAUUCAGGAAUUUUUUUUCCCUUCAUUUUAAUGUUGUUUUUACAUGGUUUUAUUUUAAAUAAAGUAUGACACUGCUUUCCAAACAAAUAUCUGAUUCUAUGUCCUAUGAAAUCACCUCUGUCUUAAGAUUUUUGUAAUUUUCCUUUAAAUUUAUUACAGACUUCACAUUUUUAAAUAUUUAUUCCCCUUUGGUUGUGCACGAUAGCAAAUGUAAAUAUUGUAUGUAUAUGUCUGUACAUUUUGGUUUUCCAGUUUCAUUUCAAAGCAUUGUUGUGUUAUCAGCAUUUGCUUAACAUUGUUUAUAUUAACAUUUUGCCAGUAAGUAGUUUAUGCAGCAAAGUCUUUAGCUUUGCUGCAAAUACUUUGUGACUGUAUUCUUACGUUUUUUGUUUUUCUUUUGUUUUUUUCCCAUUAAGGAACCAGUAAUGGAUCUAAUAACAGGUCUCUCUGCAAGCAUUUAUUCCAGAUCAAAAUAAACUGUGUUCUCUAUGAUUUCAUUAAAGGGCAUUUACUUUCUUUACUUGUUUUACAGUUAAAAUGCAGGUAAAAUACAUUAAAUUGUAU